rnacentral:rRNA from 1 species
CUAGUAAUCGCGAAUCAGCAUGUCGCGGUGAAUACGUUCCCGGGUCUUGUACACACCGCCCGUCACACCAUGGGAGUCAGUAACGCCCGAAGCCGGUGACCCAACCUUUAAGGAGGGAGCCGUCGAAGGCGGGACCGAUAACUGGGGUGAAGUCGUAACAAGGUAGCCGUAUCGGAAGGUGCGGCUGGAUCACCUCCUUUCUAAGGAA